CGCACGUCGCGUGGUGUC
rnacentral:sRNA from 1 species